UUCACGAGUAUGUACAUGUGUCAAACUCAUCAAAUCGGUGUGUUAAAUAUAUACAGUUUAUUGUUGUAACACAAUAAAGCUUUAAAAAAAUUUUUAAAGGUUACUACAUCGUGGAGUCCUGAGAGCUUUGAAAGAUGAAUGUGUCUUGCUCUGUGAAAAAGUGCAUGAUUGGUCCCCAAUUUCCCAUCCCCUCUCAUGCAACCACCCUUUUCCGUGUAACUUUUCGGUGCUGUGGGUGGGCAACAUGUCCUGUCCCUUGGCAGAAAGCAGACGGUUCCCCCAUAUGACUUGCUUCGGGCAAUGGGAUGUCGGCAGACGUGACGCUACCGUGACGCACUUGGGCUGGCUCUUGCAUCUUGCCACUGCUGUGAGAACGUGGCUGGACAGCCUUCUGAAGGAUGAGAGACACACGGAGCAGAGCCAGGUUUCUCCCGUCACCCCAUCCAAAUUCAGCUACAUCAGCCAAGGUCAGCCAACAUCAGCCAGCAACCAGGGAACCCCCCAGACAUGUUAUUAGGGAACAGGUGGUGUUUAGUUACAUGGACUGGAGCAUGCAGAUAAGAAGCUCUUUCCUUAGCCACACAUGGGGUGGAAAGAACGCCUUGUCCAGAAGCCGGAGGACACUGAGGCUCUAAACUCCUGUUGUGUGGGCUGCAGCAGGCCACUGCUCUUCUCUGACCAUCAGUUUCUUCGUCUGUAAAACUGGAACAUGGUGCCCCACUGGAAGGCUAUUGUGAGGGCUGGACGUGGCAAUGUAAAUUGAGGGCCAAGUGUGGAGCUAGCACAGAGUGGACAC